rnacentral:rRNA from 1 species
CUCCUACGGGACGCAGCAGUGGGGAAUAUUGCACAAUGGGGGAAACCCUGAUGCAGCGACGCCGCGUGAGUGAAGAAGUAAUUCGUUACGUAAAGCUCUAUCAGCAGGGAAGAAACACUGACCUUACGGUCAGCAGACGGUACCUGAGUAAGAAGCCCCGGCUAACUCCGUGCCAGCAGCCGCGGUAAUACGGAGGAUGCGAGCGUUAUCCGGAUUUAUUGGGUUUAAAGGGUGCGCAGGCGGAGGUGCAAGUCAGCGGUCAAAUUGCGGGGCUCAACCCCGUACUGCCGUUGAAACUGCAUCCC